CAGAACUGAAUUUUCGUCGUUUUUUCUCCACAUAAAAGAACUGAGCACCUUCUCCAGCGGUCAGGCAUGAGCGCUCUCCUCUCACGGCUGUACCAAGCACACGCCCAAUUAGCAUCGCAUGAUUCUUUGUUCACCGUAGAGGCAUCAAGACAAAGACAGGUUUCUUCAUGAAUUCAACGUAACACAGGGGAGAGUGCCAGGUCAUUGGUCUUCUCAGAGAAGAGGAGCAUGAAAACAAACUGCCUGCAGUCCAUGACAGACAACAAGAAAACUGCUUUCUUGCCAAGAUGAUACUUGCAGACUUUGUCUUGGUACUCCAGAUGAUGUCUACUGCAGAUGAACUCCACAGGUGAGCGGAUAAAUCGUCACAUUUGUCUUGUCUGGUGCUUGUGAUUUUUUAGUGUCAGAAGACUUGGCGACUUGUGCUUUCUAUAGGAUUGGACCUCUGCAGAGUGGUGACAAAUGGCGGAUGGAAACUUCCCAUGCAAAUAUCUCUACGUCCUACUGUCCAUCACUUGUCCUGAAGCAAGCUGCUGACCACCAUUCUGCACAGACUGGGCCACCCUGAGUCAUAUGAUUUUGUGUUGAAGCUGGAGACCACCAUGGCCAAGACCAUGAAGACGUAUUGACCUUCCUCACUGCCUCCAUCAUCGCAGAGAAUGGGAAUGAUGUGUUUCGCAACAAGUAGGACAACCUCAACAAAGUCCUAACUAAUGUCCGCAGCUCAAAAUCAACAGUGAUAGUCCACGAGACCCUGAAGCCUGGUGCCACAAAUGCUGUACACACCCAAGACCAUCGCUCUGUUAAACAUCAGAGUGGGCCCCAAGUCUCCUACAAAUGCAUCCUUCAUCCUUCAAGCCAAGCGACAAAGCGAAAGAAGAGGGUAUAGCUGCCGCUCGUAGAUGAAAAACAAAGGGGGCUGAGUGCUGGGAGCGAUACGAGAGGGAAGAUACAACACCUUCUGUGGCAACUGGCAAAGACAUCACUUGUACGCACCAUACAUUAGAUCAGCUCUGUGUGAUGUGUGCCAGUGUACUAUGAGAGGGAGGAGACAUGAAGUGAUCCACCUCUGAGUGCAUGGAUGCCACAAUAGAGCAACACUGCCACCUAGGAUGGGCUGCACCACCCUGCAGGGAUGGAGACCACAGCACACUGCUGAGGAAGGGAAAGCAAAACUAACGAGUGGCGACAUCUACUGGAUAAACUGCAGUAUUGAUGCUAGGCGUCCUGUGCUACGUCAAUAUAAAGUGGGCCAACCAUAAAAUACAGGUUGAAAUACGU